ACUUGUUUGGGAAGCUGUUUUGAAACUAACAUGGUUUAGUCCACUAACUGCAUGUUGGGUAAAUUCAAAACCCACAUGCUCGUCCUCUUGCAGUGGAAUAAGUCACAUCUGAUGGACAUUUUCUGUGCUUAUAGCAUAGUAAUGAACGUCUGACAGGCGCGACCUUUCAUAAGACAACCCACACUAUUGGCUUUCUGCCCAGAAUAUUGCUGCAACACUGUCUGUGAUUGGUUAUCUCUCUAUCAUGCAUUGCUUCACAAGGGGAAACGGCCCCUUUUUUUAAUAAAUCUACGAUGGCUGGCUGCAAUAUGCCUCACUGUUGGUACUAAGAAGUGCCUUUCCUGACGUCUCUGCUGCUUGGAACCGCUUCUAGAGCAGUCUCUGCUUUUGCCUUGCUUGCUGCCAGCUAGACUGUGACGACAGUGCAUCCACCCUCCACCUCUAGCCCAGACGCCCCCAUUUCUACUUAUAAUCAAGAGAAAAGCUCUGAGUAUCUGGCACUGCCCUAGGCUGCUUUAGUUUUAAAAGAAAAGUUUGCUGAAAAAGUAAGAUAUCUUCUGCCAGGAAAUCAAGGAGGAAAAACAAAAUCAUUUUCUCGAUUUUGCUCUAAACUGCUGCAUCUGUCUAUGCCAAACUAAUCAAUACCGAUUGCACCACCAAACUCCAUUGCAAAUUCAGCUGUGAGGAGAUUCCCUUUCAGACAACUUUGCUGAAAGCAGCUUGGAAAUUCGGUGUCAGAGGGUCUGCCACGUUUUCAUGCUUGCAUUUUGGGCUCCAAAUUGGCACUGGGAAGGGGUUACUAGAGCACAAGGCUGAUUCGAGGCCCUACUUUUAAACGUUCAUCUACUUACGAUCCUAGUAUUUCUCUAAAAACCAAAACCUCUUUGAAUUAACAGUUUCAUGCUGUGAAUUUCUAGUGGGAGAUCUUUUCCUUGAUAUUGAGAACACAAUUUUCCAUGUACUUUUAAAGCAGGGAGUGGGGGAAAAGUAUUUUGAAGGGGACAUUUUCAUCAUUUUACAGUUUUAUCAGUUCACUUUUUUUUUUGGUUGUUACUUUUUUUUUUUUUUGAGGGGGGUUGGGUUUGUUGGUUUCACUGAAAAUUUUAACUACCUGUAAAAUCUAAACAUGGCUGUUAGUGUCACACCAAUUCGGGACACAAAAUGGCUAACACUGGAAGUAUGUAGAGAGUUCCAAAGGGGGACUUGCUCACGGCCAGACACGGAAUGUAAAUUUGCACAUCCUUCGAAAAGCUGCCAAGUUGAAAAUGGACGAGUAAUCGCCUGCUUUGAUUCAUUGAAAGGUCGUUGCUCCAGGGAGAACUGCAAAUAUCUUCAUCCACCCCCACACUUAAAAACACAGUUGGAGAUAAAUGGGCGCAAUAACUUGAUUCAGCAGAAGAACAUGGCCAUGUUGGCCCAGCAAAUGCAACUAGCCAAUGCCAUGAUGCCUGGUGCCCCAUUACAGCCCGUGCCAAUGUUUUCAGUUGCACCAAGCUUAGCUACCAAUGCAUCAGCAGCCUUUAAUCCCUACCUGGGACCUGUUUCCCCAAGCCUGGUUCCAGCAGAGAUCUUACCGACUGCACCGAUGUUGGUUACGGGGAACCCUGGGGUCCCUGUCCCUGCAGCCGCUGCAGCCGCCGCCCAGAAAUUAAUGCGGACAGACAGACUCGAGGUAUGUCGAGAGUACCAGCGAGGCAACUGCAACAGAGGAGAGAAUGACUGUCGGUUCGCCCAUCCUGCUGACAGCACAAUGAUUGACACCAACGACAACACAGUCACCGUGUGUAUGGAUUACAUCAAAGGGAGAUGCUCUCGGGAAAAGUGCAAGUACUUCCAUCCUCCCGCGCAUCUGCAAGCCAAGAUCAAGGCUGCCCAAUACCAGGUCAACCAGGCUGCCGCCGCGCAGGCUGCAGCCACAGCAGCCGCCAUGACUCAGUCGGCUGUCAAAUCACUGAAGCGACCCCUCGAGGCAACCUUUGACCUGGGAAUUCCUCAAGCUGUACUUCCCCCAUUACCAAAGAGGCCUGCUCUUGAAAAAACCAACGGUGCCACGGCAGUCUUUAACACUGGUAUUUUCCAAUACCAACAGGCUUUAGCCAACAUGCAGUUACAGCAGCAUACAGCAUUUCUCCCACCAGGCUCAAUAUUGUGCAUGACGCCCGCUGCAAGUGUUGUUCCCAUGGUGCACGGUGCUACGCCAGCCACUGUGUCCGCAGCAACAACAUCUGCCACAAGUGUUCCCUUCGCUGCAACCGCCACAGCCAACCAGCCCCAUCCUUGACGCUUCUACACUGUUGGGUGCAACAUCCUGUCCUGCAGCAGCAGGAAAAAUGAUACCCAUAAUAUCUGCCGAACAUCUGACUAGCCACAAGUAUGUUACCCAGAUGUAGAAUUUUCAUCACUAAACAAUCGUACUAAAGAGGAAAGGACAGUGUGCCUGGUUAUAGAGUAAAGGACGAGGUCAUUAGCCAUAUUGUAUAUACCGUCAAGCAACCUCAUACAAAAACCCCUCAGCCACAAGACAUCCGCACACUGCAUGUUAACCAGAAGAAAAGACAACAUGGAAACCCACUGCACACUGUUGCCUAUACACUUUGUACAUUUAAUUGAUAUUUGUGCUGAGGUGAUACUCCUGUCUAAAAGAACAACAUUGUCUUUCUUUUCUAGCACAGAGUGAUGCAUUCAAAUAUGCAGACCUAAUUAGUUUCCUAUAUAUUCAUGCCAUCUUGAAAAGACAGACUAUGGUGUAACCAUGAUUCUAUUAUGUAUUGGUACGUCUGUAGACCAAGAUAUAAUUUUUUAAAAAUAAGUUUAUUUCUUUCAAGGUUUACAAAUAACAAAGGUGCACCUUGUAUUUAAAAUUGCCAUUAUAGAUGAGAGCGUGCAUGCACAGUCAUUUUUGUUUGAGUAAUAUUUUUAAUGUAAUAGAUUUUAAGAUGUGGUGAGGGAGGGAUCUGACAGAGAUGAAUGUGCCAAGCAAAACCACAACUGUGUAUCUUUUAAAGCACAUCAUGGCUUUAAGUACCAUGUUGUUAAGGAUUCUCAUGAAGUGCCAUAGACUGUACAUCAAAGUAGAGUAUUAUUUCUUCAGUGUUAUUGUUUUCAGAGCCACAUUUUGUCGCUUAUUUGCUAGUACUAAUCAGUCAAAGGGCACCAUUCUUUUUUUUUUUUUUUUUUGGAAACCAAAGCUGUCUCAGAAAUGGCCGAUUUAACUUUAUAGUAACAGACAGCACAACACAGACUCUCUCAAUACAGAUAAACUCACACGUACUGGAGAUGAUAUAUCAUAGAUAUAUAUAAAAAUUAUUUUAAUGCAUUGUAGUGUAAUAUUUAUGCCUACUAUACUGUAUAACAUGUUAUUCAAAAGGGAUAUGCCAUUUCUGAGACACGAUAACAAAAAAAAAAAGUUUGAGGAAAUUAUUUUGCUUCUAUUUAUAGCUCUGUCAAAAGUCAAAAGACUCUAAAUGCUUUGCAAAAAUGGUUUCACAUUUGCUUAAAUGCUUCGUCACAGUCACAUUUAAAACAGUGACUCUAAACAAAGAGGAAAGCACUGUCAUCAGAUGCAUGAUAAACCAAAACAUGAAAAUGGGAAAUGUUUAACUAAUCUAGUCAUUGGGUGGGUUAAGUACAUGGGUGAAUUUUAUAUGUGAUUUGUUUUGUUUCGUUUUGUUCAGAUUUACUGCUUAUAGCCUUAGAAAGCCUUUUACAAAUUAAAAAAAAAAAUAGAUGUGCAUUCAGUUUUUAAGAAUGGAUUCAUCCAAAGGAAUUCCUUUUUUGUGGUUUGGAUGUUGCAGCUAGUAAAGGAUAUUUUUGCUCUGUUCAGCAGUUCUAAAAAUUGCUGAAGUAGGGGCCAGGUCACUGGUAGUUCUAGUAUGGAAUGGGAGAAGUGAAAGUUCAGUUCUAGAACUUUCCAUACUUCCAAGUUUACUGCAAGUUUUUAUGCUUGAGAGAGAUGCUUUCUAAUAUAAGACUGAUGUGUUGAUUUUACUGAUUGUACUGUACAUCUAUUAAAGCCUUAGAUUAUUACAUUACGGGUUGGAACCCAUACCAAUGUAAUUUCAAUCGUGUUAAGAGAGUAAUGGUGACUCCACAUGUUAUUGUAGUUAGUUACAUUAUAGAAUAUUACUUAUUUUUCUUGUUAAAGUGUAGUUUUUCAUUUCCUACAUUUAUUAGAUUUCAUUUUCUAUUAACAAUUGAAUACCAUUUCAGUUUAUAGACUCUUGUUUUAGUAGAUUUUACCGAUGAACUUUUCAAAAUACAAAAAAAAAAUUAAAGUAGUUUUUUCCUUCAUAACAUACUCAGUUUUGAAUUACAUGUAGUGUCAUAUGAAUAUUCGUAUUGUUAACUAAAUGAUUUAUAUUUUACUGAUUUAAUAUUAAAAGUGUAAGAAUGUCAGUCAUUGUUAGUUCUUGUCUAGUUUUCAUUAAAAGAACAAAGAUCUUUUAUAUGGAUAUCUUAUAAAUAUAUAAUCAUUGCUAAGUAAGAAGUUAAGUUGUUGCUAUCGCAACAAUCCUGGCAGACAAUUGAGUAAUAUUUUGAUGAUUUAUUUUGUUUGUAAUUAGUUAUUAUAAGAAGAUCUAGAUCCUAGAUAUUAGAAUAAAAUUUAUUUUCUACUGUAUCCAUUUCAAAUGUUAAAGUAUUGUUUAAUAUUUUUGAAAUCCCUGAAUAUCAGGCCUUGUUAUAAAUAAGCUGCAUAAUCAAUAAAUAGAACAAGGGACUUUUUGUUGAUAAUCCAAAUACUCAAAGUUUACGUAAUGAGAAUUAUAGCGUGUGUGCAAACUCUUGAGGGUUGAUUAUGCUGCAAUUUAGCAUGUUGGAACGUCUAGAGAGAAGGUUGACUUUUUGCACUUCUGUAUAUAGUCAAAAGAGAGAAACCUGUAUAAUAGUAAGAUCUUAUUUUGAAUAAAAACGUCUAUAAUUACAAGGAGUUUUGUUAAGGCUAAUAAAAUGACAGACUGAGCAAAAUUGCUUGCAAAAGUGGCACAGAGUUAGCACUCCAUACCCCUUCAAACAUGUUGCUUUGCUUUUUUGUGGACAGCUUGUAGUUUGCCAGGAUUUUUUCAGCUGGAAAGAUAUGCCAUCCUUCCAAGAUCUCAUGACUGACAAAAACUCCAUUGGGCCAAAUCUGCCUGAAGAUCAUUACCAAAAAUAGCAGGUCCUUCAACCAUUAAGGUGAAAUCAUGGAUCAGAUAUUCCUUACAUUUUUCAAAAAACUACUGCAUGUUUAAAACUUCAACAAAACAACAAAAAAAAGAGAGAGAAAGAACUAUACUAAGGACAUAUACUAUUCAAAUCAGUUUCUGCCAAUUUCAGUGGUUUACUGUUCACAAAAAAAAAAAUAAAAAAGAAAGAAAAAAAAUCUUCAAAACAAGUAUUGACUUUCACAAAAUUUCACCCAUAAACAGGCAAACCAAACAGCACACAGUAGCUAUAGUUGUUAUGUGAUUGUUUUUUAAUUGCGGUAGGAGCCUGUUCUUUCAGCAGGUGAAAAAGGUAAAACACAGUUCAAUUUUCACGGUUUUAAUUUUCAACUCAGAAGCACUCAAAAAAGCAAAUGUGAUAAUGGGCACUUGUUUACUGAAUUAGUGUAUCCAACCUUCACUCCAGCUGGUUAUAAUGUUGCACUUAUCAGCAACCCUACACUUUCACCUGCUGAAAGGACAGGUGUGCUUGGUUUUACUAUUAUGUAAUCACAACUUACUUUCUGCUUGUAGUUGCUUAAAAUUAUGUAUUUUGUCUUGGGCUGCAAUUUGUUUUAUGCUUAUUUUAUUAUUACUGCAGUAGUUGACUUUGCUGUAUGGAAAAAUAAAGUGAAAUUGCCCUAAUAAAACUUCUCUUUCUUAAGUA